rnacentral:rRNA from 1 species
UACAGAGGGUGCAAGCGUUAAUCGGAAUUACUGGGCGUAAAGCGUGCGUAGACGGUUAUGUAAGUCAGUUGUGAAAGCCCCGGGCUCAACCUGGGAAUGGCAUUUGAGACUGCAUAGCUAGGGUGCGGAAGAGGGAAGCGGAAUUUCCGGUGUAGCGGUGAAAUGCGUAGAUAUCGGAAGGAACAUCAGUGGCGAAAGCGGCUUCAUGGUCCAGCACCGACGUUCAGGCACGAAAGCGUGGGGAGCAAACAGG